UACGUAGGGGGCAAGCGUUGUCCGGAAUCAUUGGGCGUAAAGCGCGUGUAGGCGGUUCGGUAAGUCUGCUGUGAAAGUCCAGGGCUCAACCCUGGGAUGCCGGUGGAUACUGUCGGACUAGAGUGCGGAAGAGGCGAGUGGAAUUCCUGGUGUAGCGGUGAAAUGCGCAGAUAUCAGGAGGAACACCAAUUGCGAAGGCAGCUCGCUGGGACGUUACUGACGCUGAGACGCGAAAGCGUGGGGAGCAAACAGG
rnacentral:rRNA from 1 species